rnacentral:rRNA from 1 species
GUCCACGCUGUAAACGAUGUUCACUCGCUGUUUGCGAUACACAGUAAGCGGCUGAGCGAAAGCAUUAAGUGAACCACCUGGGGAGUACGAUCGCAAGGUUGAAACUCAAAGGAAUUGACGGGGGCCCCGCACAAGCGGAGGAACAUGUGGUUUAAUUCGAUGAUACGCGAGGAACCUUACCUGGGCUUAAAUGUAGAUUGCAUAGGGUAGAAAUAUCCUUUCCCUUCGGGGCGUAUUUACAAGGUGCUGCAUGGUUGUCGU